rnacentral:tRNA from 1 species
UAUAUAUAGCUCAGUGGUAGAGUGCAUGCUUAGCAUGCAUGAAGUCUUGGGUUCAAUCCCCAUUAAAAUAA